AGUGGAAUGAGACGAAGAGGAGCAGGGCGGGGGCGGACAACGCUGAAAAACAAGGUAGUUUGUUUUAAGUCACAGCUCACCAAGCAGAGCGAUGGCCAGGAGGAUGCUUUCCUGGAAGACGCGGUCACUUGUGGUGUUCAUGAUGAGGUCGAUAACCAGAUCCGAAGCUCCUUCUCUGUCCAGAUGACACUGGACUUCUGUCAGGCUCAUUUCCCCGCGACUCAGACCACCAUGACCCCCCAAAACUGUCCCACACAGAACAUACAAGGAGGAAAACAGUCAGGACUGUAGAAUCUACUUUGCUUAUUUUCCUCGUGUACAUAAAAGAAACAAUUCUGCAAAUAGUUGG
rnacentral:lncRNA from 1 species